GAGUAUGCUCACAACUCUCUGUCCAGCGCUGCAAUCGGUAUGUCCCCUUUUGAAGUUUCCUUGGGCUUUCAACCCCCCCUUGUUUCCCGCUCAGGAGGAUGACAUUGCAGUAUCGUCAGUCCAGUGUAUAUGUCUGUGUUGUGGGCGUGUCACCCCCCUCACACUCCCUUGAUUGCAGUUCAGUCAACUCACCUGCUCCAAGCCUCACUCCUGCCAUCCAUUAACUCAUCAACCCAGCAGUAUAUCAACCCAGUCUUCAGCCACUCGUCGCUAGAUCGUCUACUCAGCUACAGUGGAUCCCUAGCUACCUGUCCACCCGCCUACCUGCUACCUGCUACCCACUUCACCCUCUGCCUCCACGAGCUGGAUGUUCUCCGUCCUCCGUCCCCUUUCCCUGGAAACCCCUUCAAUAAACCUCCCACCUAUUGCUCCAAGUUUGUGUCCUGCGUUUGGGUCCUUCCCUUGUUGCACACGUUUUCACAUUAAUGGCAAUGAAGGAUAAAACAAUUACUGACGCAAUAACUUUCCAGAGUUGUAGAAUCAGGUUAAAAAUCACUUUGCAAUGUUUUGAUGUCUGAUAAGCCUUCAAAUCACUCCAAUUAUAUUUUGUGGAACACAGAGUGUGUUAGGAAAGUAAAUCAGUUAUUGUGGGGAGGCUUGCCAGCACUAGUGCUGGUUUGCCUACCCUUUCAAUCACAUGACUCCCAUCUUGCAUAUUGUAGCAGUCCCUUGGGAGUCUCCUGAACUGGAGCUGCUGUAUGGGCUUAUUGUUUCUUUGCAGAGGAGGGACUCGACUGUAGCUUUUAGAGGCACCUUCAGACAGUAGGAAGAGGUGAUCUUUAAACUUGUGAGGUGAACUUAUUUUAAAGAAUUUUACCAAACUAUUAGAUGAGGUUUGGCCAUUCUGAUUGCAGUGUUCUAUGUGUAUUCACAGCCGCAUUAACAUGCAUAUGUCCUAAUCUACAAGAUUUCAUGUUAAUACCAGAUGGAAAUUGAAUCUUUGUCAGAUACCAGCAUUUUUUCACCUAUGACUCCAUGCUUCUCUCUUAGAGAUGAUUUGAUGUUUUUCUUUUGCUGCUACACUUACUAAUUUAACCUGAUAAGAUGCGUGUAACUGAGAAAUAAAGCACUUCAAGUUGU